GUGCUUGCUUUGGCAGCACAUGUAUUAAAACUGGAACAAUGCAGAGAUUAGCUUGGCCCCUGUGCAAGUAUGACACACAAAUUCACAAAGCAUUCCGUAUGAAA